CCAGGUACUCAGCCUUCCUCCACUAAACAGGCACAGUCUAAAUCCCCAGGGCCUAGCUAUGACAUCACAGAGCCUCCUUUUUCUUUCAUGUCUUUUGUGGCUUUCUCUGUGGCACAUCCUUGCAGUCCCAAGGAAAUAUCCCUCUGCAGUGAGAACUGCCCUGCCGCCAGCCAGGGAAACAGGUGUGGAAAAGUCAAUGAUAAAAUAAUCAUCCAAACUCAAAUACUGAAUCCUAAAAUUGAGGCCCACUGGAUCCCUGUCACCACUGAUGCAAACACCUCCCACCCUUGGAUCACUAAGGGAGAGAGAGAUGCCUGUGUUUGCAGGUCAUCAACCAGUCAGUCCCUAGUCCAGGAUGAGGGCCCGGAUUCCAGGCUGGGAAGGAAGCUGGCAGUGAUGAGCAUUUGGAUGGAUCCCACCAUAGGAAUCAGUUGUGAUACAAGGGACAUGGUCCAGGUCUGCAGACUUUGUAGUAAAGAACGAAAGAAACUCAUAUGCCAAAUCACGAAGCCAAGACUCAGAUAAGGAAAGGUUGAAGGAUUGCAGAAAAAAAUUAAAAAGUUGCAAAA